rnacentral:rRNA from 1 species
CAGCAGCCGCGGGAAUACAGAGGGUGCGAGCGUUAAUCGGAUUUACUGGGCGUAAAGCGUGCGUAGGCGGCUAAUUGAGUCGGAUGUGAAAUCCCCGAGCUUAACUUGGGAAUUGCAUUCGAUACUGGUUAGCUAGAGUGUGGGAGAGGAUGGUAGAAUUCCAGGUGUAGCGGUGAAAUGCGUAGAGAUCUGGAGGAAUACCGAUGGCGAAGGCAGCCAUCUGGCCUAACACUGACGCUGAGGUACGAAAGCAUGGGGAGCAAACAGGAUUAGAUACCCCUGUAGUCCCUGUCUCUUAUAA